UGCAUGUCGAAUAUGAAGCCAUCUGUGAUAAAAACGAUGAGUCCGAGAUGGUUGUCAACUGUACCUGUUCCGAUCAAUUCAAUGAAGUCGUAAGAGGCACAGGAAGAUAACAAAAGUUAAAUCUAAGUUGAUGUCUUUGUGUUAAAUAAUUAAGGAUUUCUUCAACUGUACACAGAUAAGUCUCCCACUAUAGCUUUUUUAUUAUACGUGAGACUGUUAAUCUCAUCUCCUUUAGAGUUAGUGAGUUGACUUAAUUAUGUAUACAAUUCAUGUGCAGGUGCGUGCAGUUAAAAAUUUAGAGACAGAGCUUUAUUCAUCUGAAGAAAAUGGGACAGGGACUUAGUAGAUGCAAGUCAAGAACAGGAUCACCUCCAGCUUUUUACGUUGCUUCCCCAAGUACGCUGAAUGGACGCUGAAUGGUAUUGCCUCAACACAAUCCAAAACUUUGCCCAGCACAUCUGACAAAAUAAAACAUGGUAAAGGGUAUAAGGUUUGAUUAUGAAGAUGAUUUUGAUGGGCUGAACAUCCUUUUCACAUGCAUGGACUUAUUUGGAAAUGGGCCUAACUUGUUCGGUUGUAAAUUGGUCAGAUUAUGGAUAAGUCAUAAAAACAAAAGAAUUCUGAUUGGUCU